rnacentral:lncRNA from 1 species
GUGCUGGUCCUCCUGGUGCUUAAUAAAGUUAUUAUCCUAGCCGCAGGCCAAAAGAAGAUGUGGGGGGAGGGGGAAGGAGGGAGCUGGCCUAGAUGAGCUCUCAGUGGGACUGAGGGAAGACACUAGCUCUCUAAGAAAUUCCUAGGUGUGUCUGACAGAAACCUAGGUCCACCAGAAUCCCUUGAUGAUAUUUCUCCUAUGAAUGCCCAGAGGACAUGACCAGUACUUCCAGGAAAGGGGCUUUAUAAAUUCCCCACAUGAUUUCUGUUUGUCACAAAGGUGAGCACAAGGAAAAAGGGCUCUGCUGCUCAAAGUGGAGUUUCAGGGCCUCAUCACUGGCAUCACCUGAAAACUUGUGACAGGCAAAUCCUUAGGCCCCAAUUCCCAUUAUCUGGAGGUAUACACACAUGAGCACAUGCACAAACACACACAGACAAUUAGAAUUCCCAGUGAAUAUAGGGACAUGGCAUUGUUCAUUGUCUCAGAGAAUAAUGAACAGAGCCAGGGACGAGCAGGGAUGACCUGCACGCCAUUCAGUCACACACUGAGGACCACCAAGUAGGACCAGGCCCCUCCAGCUACUAGCAGGGCCAAUCAGACCCCACCCACCUCCAGAGAAAAUACAAAAAAAGAUUCACCAAAAACUCACGGCCCCUAGCAUCUUGCAUAAGCCAGUAGCUGUCAAGGCCUCAUAAAAGGCACGAUGGCAGCUCAUACACUACUGCCCGUAUCCCCAUAUUGUGACUCAGACUACAGGCUCUGCUAUUCAUUUGAAGGAAACAAAUAGUUCGUGUUCCCAUUCACUCCUAACUGGGAUUCAAGUUCUGCCUCACGAUGGCAGCUCACACACUACUGCCCUUAUCCCCAGAUUGUGACUCAGACUACAGGCUCUGCUAUUCAUUUGAAGGAAACAAAAAUACUUCGUGUUCCCAUUCACUCCUAACUGGGAUUCAAGUUCUGCCUCUAAGAGGUGCAUAGGAAAAUUAGUUUGGGUGUGAGGACACCCGGAUGUGCAGCCUUCUGUGACAUGAGGAAAGCUGACUUAGCAGAAAGGGAUCAAGACACAACAGGGAGCUGGGGAUAAUGACUGCCUGUCUGUUGUUCAAAUCCUUAUUGGUGCAAUGGACCAGGAUUCCACUAAGUUCAUUCCUCUCAAUGCUGAUCUUAUGGAGACCCCUCUUUAGUUUCUCCAACUUCUUCAUCUGCUGCUCCUGCUCAGUGAUGGUGGAGGGUUGGGAUGAUGCCUUCCCGCCAGACCUUGUAGGUGGAUAAAUGCAAGUGAACUUGCAUAGUUGAUGGCACAGAAAGACUGCUGAGUCUCUAAAAGAAGCUGAGGAUGAGGGAAUGCUAGAGACACAGUGAAUCCCUGAAAGAGCAAGAAAGCUAUCUUCAUGCUGGGCUCCUCAGUUAUGUCCUUGUUCACACUCAUCAUAACUAGAUAUAUCCCUCACUCCCCAUUGCAGUCCCCCUGUCACUGAAAUGCAGAAGCUAGCCCAUACAUGAAGAAUUGGAGGGUAUUGUCAGAUCAAAUCUGAUAUGAUACAAAUAAGUCCUGAAGUCCAUAGUGGUUAAGGCCACCAAGUCCUAAACCUGUAUUCAAGUUCAAAGUGUCUGAAUGUCAGAGACCUUGAUAUAUGACCAGGAUAGUACCCUCCUGUUCUUGGCAUCACAUACCCAUAUAACCUACAGAAAUCUAGAACUUCCUCUUGGCAUCCUUUGCCACUCAGAAUGAAAUUAAAGAGCUCCCAGCAAAAACAGCUGCAUGCUUGUCAAUUCCUGUAUCUGUGCUAAACUAACCAUCAGAAAUUAUUGAUGCUGAGUCUACUCAGUAUGAACACAUAGGCUCCAAAUGAUAAACCCUACUCCUAGAAGGCCCAGCACAAGCCCACCUCCUCCAGGAAGCUCCCUAUCCCCAGCCAAUGAUUUAUUCUGCCAUCCACAGGAUCCAUUUAUUUCUUUCCUCUUACUCCAAGACCAAAACCAGCUUCCUUCUCUCUCCUCUCUUUGCUCUCCCUUCUCUCUCCUAAAUGUUCUGUUCAGCCAGGCAAACAGCCUGGGAGAAACCUAAAGAUACUGACUGAAUGCCCUAAAGAGAGUUACUGUUGCCACAAUAUGGGUGACCUCAUGGAGAAUACUAAGGAAUCUCAGGGAUAUAUUGGAAUCUCCAGAAGAGGAUCUGGUAGCUUCCCUUCAGCAGCCCCAAAUCACCAGACACCAAACUGCCCUUUCCUGGAGCCUUCCUGGAGACACAAGGGGAGGCCUUCAAUUACUCCCCCAUCCAAAGCCAGAGAUCUCUCUGCUCCAUUAGACUCUUUUCACUCCUUCAUGUAUGAACAGUGAAGACACUUUCCAAAACAGACUAGAAAUGCUCCUCCUCCUCCUAAAGAUCUUUAAUCAACGAGUUGAUGAAUAAAGUCUUCGAGGAAAUUAAGUCAAGAUGGUGAGGAAGAAAGAUUGCUCCCAUGGCAGUGCUCAAGCACAUCAGGGUAGAUCUACAGGGCUCUUUCAGUAUGGCAAGGUAAUUGGUGAUUGUGGGUGUCCUGUCAGAACAAUGGGAUCCUGAGAACUAGGAUAAGUCUCUUUACAGAAGCUCCCAGCUUCUACGCUCUUUUCCUCAAAGACACAGCUGUAGCCCACAUCCCCCAGGAAAUUCCUGUUUUCAUGCCCAGGACUCACUGCACAUUCUCCAGAGCCAUUUAUAUCUUGUUUUACAACAAGACAGAAGGCCAGCUUCCUUCUGCCCCUCUCUGCUUUCUCCAUGCUCUGUCUCUCCCAAAAUGUCUUCUGAGUCUAGCAAACAUGUCUGUCAAUGAACCCUUUAGGCAUUGAACAAAUGCCCUACAGGCAGGUGGUGUCACCACAAACCUGGUGACAUCACUGAAGAUUCUUGGGCUCUCCUGGAUACAAGACAUUGUCCAGGGAAGGGACUACUAAUGAUGUUACUGGGAACUGCAAUGUCCUACCUGCUAACUAGCUCUCCCCAUUUUGAACAAAAGCUGUGAUGCACUUUCCAGGAGCCUCUCCUGUGACGUGGGGCAUCCUUCAGCACCUCCUCCUCCCAAGCUGGAGAUUUCUCUAUGCCUCAUUAGACUCUCACUUUCCAAAGUAAGUAACUGCUCAGACAUUAGUCAUUCCACUCAUGUAGAAACAAAGGCUUUUCCUGACGUGGACUCCCUUUGUAAUCUUUGUGUACUUUGUAAAUUGUGUAAACCUUUACACAAUAGCCAGGCCCCUGCCUAAGAAGCUCCAGCAUCCAUGACUAUCCCCUGGACCUCUCUAAGUGUCCUAACUGUCACAAAGUCCAUCUUCAACCCCUCAACAGGACCCUCCCCAUAUUAUGCUAAUUUUAGGUGAAACAUUAGAACAAAAGAUGCCAAUCCCUGAAUAGGAAAACCCACCAAUCCCUGAAGAGGCACAUUUACUAAUCUCUGAGCUCCCCACAAGCUCAGGACUUGAAAUCCCACCAAUCUUCACUUUGCAAAUCCCUACCCUAAGAAGCCCCCCUCUCCACUCCCCAGGACCCUGUAUAGGCACUGUGCCUUGUCUAGUUCUUGGUGUCUGCUCGCUCUUGGGAGCACAGGCAACCACUCCUGGAUUCAUCCAUUCAUACCCUGGACCUUCCAAUAAAUCUCUUUUAUCAGAUAAUGCUGCCCAGUGUGACUGACUCAUCAGACGAUAAGAAGCAAUGACUAGAAGCAAAGAAGAAGUGAAGAGGAGGGGCAAGGCUGAGGCUCCUGAACUCCUGAGCUCAGCUGGAGAGACCCUCCUGUCUUAGGGUUUCCAUUACUGUGAAGAGACACUAUGACCAAGGCCACUCUUAUAAAGGAAAACAUUUAAUUGGAGCUGACUUACAGAUUCAGAGGUUAUGUCCAUUAUCAUGGCAGGAAGCAUGGCAGCAUUCAGGCUAGCAUGGUGCUAGAGAAGCUGAGAGUUCUUUGUCUAGUUUGGAAGGCAAACAAGAGAAGAUUCAGCAUCCUCAGACAGCUAGGAAGAGGGUCCCAAAGCCCACCCCCACAGUGACACACUGUCUCCAACAAAGCCACACCUACUUCAACAAACCCACACCUCCUAAUAGUACUACUCCUUGAGCCAAGCACAUUUAAAUCACCAUAUUCUACUCUAUGCCCCCCAAUGGCUUUUUCAAACAUUUGAAUCUAUGGGAGCCAUACCUAGCCAUAGCAUACUGCAAAAUGCAUUUAGUCCAACAUAAAAAAUUUCAGAGUCUAUAACAGUCUUCACAAUGUAAAGUGUCCAAAAUUCAGUCUCUUCUGAGAUUUAUCCAAUCACUUAACUGUAAUACCUUAUAAAAUCAAAAUAGAAAGCAUAUCACAUAGCUCCAACAUCAUAGUAUGUACAUUACCAUUCCAAAACAUCAUAGUGAGGAAAUGCUGAAACAAAGCAAGCUCAAAAUGCAGCUAGGCAAAACCCAAACUUGUAUCUCCACAUCUGGUGUGAAAGUGCUCUUCAGAUCCUUAACUCCUUUCUGCUUCUUGACUGAAGCACACUUCUUUGUGGUCGGUUAUACUCUCUAUAAGCAGCAUUCCUCAGCAGAUAUACCAUGCCUCCAGCAUCUCUAACAUCUCAGGGGUUUCAAGGCAACUUCAGUCUUACAGCUUCUUGUUCCAAUGCCUGGGAUUUACACAUGAUCUUUUGGGCUCUUCCAAAGACUUGGGUUACUUCUCCAGCUCUGUCUUCUGUAGCACUCUAGGCUCUGAUCGACCAUACUUCACUGCUGCUGGUGGUUUGGGUGGUGAUCCCAUAGUACUGACAUCUCCAAUAUGCUGAGAUCUUCCUCUGCAACCAGGCUUCACCCUUCAUGGUGUCAAACCUCAACUUCUAUGCAUGAUCCCCUCAGUCCUGGGCCAUUAACUGCAACUGAGGCUGCACCUUCACCAAUAGCCUUUCCUGGCUACUCACAAUGCCAAGUAUCAGUUUUCUCUCAGACCUCUUCAUGCCUUCAAAUCCAGUACCACCUGGGUGACUCUUACACAUCACCAAGUCCAGCUAAAGCACAGGAACAACCUUGGCUAUCUCUGGAACACAGCUUCUUUGUGCUCUCAGAAAAUGCUUCCCAGAAGAUUUCACCUCAGUGAUGCUUGUCUCUUCUUAAUCGCUGUUAAUUUAUUAGCUCCAGGUAACUAGCAUUAGUUUCUACUCUUGACUCUUGCCCGAGCUAGUAUCUCGCCGGCAAGAAUUCACUCGGACAACUGGAUCCUUCUACAGCAAAGCUUUUAUUGCUUCAACAUAAGGAAGACCCCGAACCCGGAAAAUGGCGCUGCUUAUAUAGCCCGCAGCAUGACGUUUCAGCACCUGACGUGGCAUGACAGCACCUGAUUAGUUGCUCGCCCAUCACCCCAUUACUACGCCGCGAGAUGGGCAGUGACUGGGCCUGAAUUUACUCUUGCACUUGCGCAUAAGGCUUGUUUACUAGUUAGGCUCAGUGGAAGCCAGCGCCAUCUUAUAAUGGCGAUUGCUCACGGCACGGCUCUCCACACUUGACUCUUAAGCCAGAGCUACAUGGCUAAAGCUGACAACAAGUUCUGCUUGCCAGAGCUGGAAUGUGGCCCAUUUGUUCUUUUACAUUAUCACCAGCUUUAUGUGUUCAAACUCCUUCACUGCUUAAGCUUGGCCAUCCUGGACCUUGCCCUUUAGAUUGACCUCAAAUUCAGAGAUUUGCAUGGUUCUGUCUUUUGAAAGCUGGGAUUAAACGCAAGAACCACCAUGCAUGGAACUAAACUUUUCUUUAACUUGAGCAUCCUCUGUAACAGGCUGGUCUUGAACUCAGAGAUCUGCUUGCUUCUAUCUCUUGGGAUUAAAAGUAUGUGCCACCCUGCCUGGACCUAAGCUUUCUCAUUAUAGAUCUUAACCAAGUUGAAAACCAAGAAUAGCCAUCACAAUCUAUCUCUUGUCAAUUUGACACAUAAUUGUAUCUCCUCUUGUCCAAAUGUAAACAAUAACCAGGAUAUAACAACACCUAACAUGAUAUAACUCCUCCUUGUACAACAAAUUUAUUUGGGUGGGAUCUUGCCUUAAGGUUGUCACUCCCUUAAUUGCAUUUAAUAUUCUUGGAAACAGAAUGUAGCGUCAUUGUACUUCCUGGUGCUCCCUUACACUUUGAACUGUACAUUUUGUAUUUUCCUUCCUAAGCUUGCUACAUUUGGUCAAACUGCUCUUCAUUAGAGUAAACCAGAAUACAAAGUCUAUGCUGGGCUUUUUUGAGACACUUUUCUCUCAAAGCAAUUAGUUUAAAUUCCUUCACCUUUGCCUCAGGCAGACUUUUCAUACAAGGGUGAAAAGCAACCCCUCUCUCCACCAAAAUAAUAAGAACAAUCUCUAGGCAGCAUAAUAUUAUUCUCAGAAACCACUUGAGACCCCCAGAGUUCUAAUCACCAUCAGCACCAAUGUAUUCUAUAUUCCUUCUAGGAUAGCCCAUUAAGUCCCAUUUGAAGCAUUCCAUGGCUUUCCAAAUUCAAAGCCCCCAAAUCCACAUUCUUCUAAACACAAUAUAGUCUGGCCUGUCACAGCAAUACCCCUCAGUCUCUGGUAUCAACCCAUGUCUUAGGAUUUCCCUUGCAGUGAAGAGAAACCAUAACCAAAGCAACUCUUACAAAAGACAGCAUUUAAUUGGGGCUGGCUUACAGAAUCAGAGAUUCAGCAUAGCAGUGUCCAUGUAAGCAUGCUGCUAGAGGAGCUGAGAGUUCUGUCUUGUUUGGAAGACAAACAGGAGAAGACUCAGCAUCCUCAGGUAGCCAGAAGGAGGGUCUCAAAACACACCCCCACAGUGACACACAUUCUCCAACAAGGCCACACCUACUUCAACAAAUUCGUACCUCCUAAUAGUUUCAUUUAUUGUGCCAAGCAUAUUCAAACCACCACACCUCCCCCGGGAGCUACAAUACCUCUGGAUGAGCAGACUUCCUCUCAGAGCUGUGUGGUUGCUGGUCUCUAGUGUCUCUGGAUACUCUUCCAUUGGGACACUCUCCUGCUUCAAAGCUGUGUACAUCCUAGGCUUCCAAGUCACAGGACACCUUCCCAUCCCAGCAGAAAGGUCAAGGUUUUGGUGUAGUGCUUCGUGUAGACUUUCUCUGUGGCUUGUGCUUCCCCAACUCUGGAGAGAUCGAACUGCUCUAGGACUCUUCCAUCUCCGGCUGGCCUGCAGCAGACUCAUCUUCCAGCUCACCUAUAGCUCAUCAUCCUAUCCACUAGCAACAAUUAGGAUUGCUAGCUCUUAGCUCUGUAGCCAGAGCCUGCAACUACUGGUAUACCCUGAAAGUGAGGACUGAACUUGCUCCAUAGACUUCAAACUCACAGAGCAGUGGGAGAGAUGAACGAGGAUGGGACCUCUACACACACAUUCAACAAGAAAUAGUCUAAUGAUGUCGCUCCUUUCCCCCAACCCUGACUGUACAUCAAUGUAAACAAAAAGGGGGUUUCAUUUGCAGAAUUUGUAUACUUUGUAAACUCUGUAUAUUUGGUAAACUCUCUAAACCUUCAAGGUAGGAAAGUGGUCAGGCUCUUGUCUGAGGUGCUCCAGCAGCCAGGCCCAUCCCCAGACCUCUCUGUCAUGAUUGUCACAAAGGUCAUCUCCAGCCAUUCAGCAGGACCCUCCCCAUAUUACUCUAAUUUUAGGUGAAAAGUCUGAUCAAAAGCCACAAAUCCCUGAAUAGCAAAACCUACCAAUCCCUGAAUUUCCCAUACUAACCCACCAACCCCUGAGCACAAAACAACAACAACAACAACAACAAAAAAACCCCACAAAACUAAAAACAAAAACAAAACAAUCCCUGAAGAGGAAAACCCUAAGCACCAAAUCCUACAAAUUCUUACCCUGAAAACCUCCACCUUAGAAAGUCCCACCCCCCAAGAACCUCUAUAUAAACACUGUGCCUUGUCCAAUCCCACACUGUCUGCUCCCUCCUGGGAACUUAGGCAGCCACCCCUGGACUCACCCAUGCACACCCUGGAACCACCAAUAAAUCUUUUAUGAGGUUUGCUGCCUGGCAUGACUCAACUGAAGAUGAUGAGAAGCAAUUGAAGUGAAGCAGGGAAGAAGCAAAGAAGAGGAGCAGGGCUGAGGCUCCUGAGCUGAUGAGCUCAGCUGGGGAUACACUCCCCUGGGAGCUAUAACCCUUCUACUGAGGAGGCUCCCACUCAGAGUUGUGUGGUUCUUGGGCUCCUAUAUCUCAGGUACCCUUCUUUUGGGAAACUGUCCCACCUAAGAGCUGUGUGCUUCCUGGUCUAUCGAGUUCCAGAACACCUACCUUCCCAUUUGAAAAGAAAGGUCAAAACUGGCUCAUACUGUCCUUAAGAUUCACAAUAAGAUGAAGAAGUGAUGCUGGGGAAUUAAAUCAGGAUGAUGGGGAGGAGAGAUUAUGAUUGCCCUGGACUGAGCAAGCACUUGGAGGAGAUCCAGAAUAUAAGAGGUUUUUUUUUUUUUUGGGGGGGGGGGUCAAGAUCAAAGAGAGAUCACUUAUGCAGUGAUGAAAUAUUCCCUCAGAGCCUUAACAGAGCUCAAUUCAGCCAUGACACUGUUGGUAAUGCAAUCCCCUGUUCACAGGUCUGCCUGCAGACACCUGAGCAGACACAGGUGAGACCUGAGACCUCAAAAGCAAACAUUCACAGAAAGUAUAUGAUGG